ensembl:lncRNA
AUUAAACUAACUUAGAUGGAAACUCAAAAUUUCCAAGAAAAUUUUAAAAAAUAAUAAUCCCCUCUAUGCACCUCAACCACUUCCCCAUCCCUCUCCUCCAUGCACAUAUAAAACUGUCCCUGGCAUUAAGGGGAAAAAAAGUCUUUUCAAAAAAUAUUUGUUGCUCAUUGCCAUGACCCCCAGAGUGGGCUUCCAGGUGAAGCCUUCUGGCAGGAGCAAAGCCUUACUCUGGAGACACCUCUUCUACUUUAUUGUCAGUGUCCCAGAGCAGUAAAAAACUGCUGGAUGAGACAAAAAGGAAAUACAGCCCCUGGGAAACAAAUUGCCUUCAUGAAAAUUAUUUAUCUGGCUUUUUUUUUUUCCCCCUCCUUUGGAAGGGGAAAGGAUUGGCUAUGUUUACAAAACCUGGUGAUAUGUUAAAGCUUUGGUUCAGUUAACAGCUUCUGACAACAGCCCACAGAGGUGCUGGAUCACUUUCUGGAUGUAAAAAUUCUCAAGGAGAACCCAAGGUGAAGCUAAUAAUAACCGUCAACCCACAGAGAGGUAAUUAUACAGCUGUGAUUAAAGCAAAACAAAACCUUCAAAUGUUAUAACCUUCCUCACUGGAACACCAGGUGGUAGGAUACAGAGAAACCAUAAUGCCCUCUGAGUAAGCCCAGUGACGACACGGACCAAACUGGGCCCCCUAAAGGGUCCCUGACUCAGAAAUGCCCACCUGAUGAGCAAUCUGUACGCACAGUGAUGCUGCCCUGCCAGCCUGUGCAGGGACUCCUGAAACCCUGCUGAGAACAGGCAAUCAGGAUGCUGCUUCUGCAGCCUGUCUGAUCCUGGGCAGAUCAGACUCCCAGGUCCCUCACUCCAGGGACAGGUCUAUAGCUGAGAAUAAAAAUCUGAUUUUUAACAAGCACCUUGCUUCCUGUCUCCCUCUCUUCUCCAGUCUCCAUGCCUCCUCCCAAAGUUUUCAUCAACUGCAUUUGAGAAAUACUGACUUAAGGAUGCUCAUUCCCAAGUGUGGACUAGUCUGGGACCCACUCAGAGCACUGAAGCUGUGGCUCAGGCACUUCAGAGUGUGUAAGGAUGACUGAGGUUUCUGAUUCAGUUGGUCUGGAGUGUGACCCAAGGGUCCCCACUUUAACAAGCAUUAGAGAUACUGCUGUUGCCAGCAGGCCAUGGUCCACAUGGUGUCUACACCUUCACCAGGCCAACAGCCUCCAAUAAUGAUGGCAUACCUGAAACCUUCCCAUUUUCUCAAUCUUCUGCCUGCCCUUGAACCUCUGCCAAAGCACGAGAUCUUGCCAAAACACUCCCUGGCUAUAGCAAGCUCUGAAUAAAGAGUCUUUGCACUUCUCAUUUGGUUGGUCUUCAUUGAUUUCCACAAAUCCUAUCCCAUACACGCAAGAUUGAUUAGGGAAGAUCAGAGAGAUUGACAAGUGGUUCCAAGGCCACGCACCAGAAGCAACAGUGCCUGAACUUGAGUCUAGCCUCUCUGACUCCAGUAUCUGGCCUCCAUCAGUCUCUGUCCCCAGCCAGGACACCCCAGGGCUGCCAGGUGGGGAGAGCUGGCAGGCCAGAUGCCCACAGGGCCAAAGCCAUUGCUGCUUUCUACUCCUCUGAUUUUACUGUAAUUUCAGAAUUUGGCCACCCAUUAGAAUCACUUGAGAAAAGAAACAAAGAGAAGACAGAGAAGAAAUGAGAAAAGAAACUGUGAGAUACACACACACACACACACACACACACACACGCACACACACACAUGCACAUACACACAUACACACACACACACACACACACACAUACACCGGAAUACCAUUUAGUCAUGAGAAAGAAGGAAACUCUGCCAUCUGUAACAACUUGAAUGAAACUUAAGGGCAUUAUGCAAAGUGAAAUGUCAGAUAGAGAAAGAUAAUACUGCAUGAUUUCACUUACAUGUGGAAUCAAAAUAGGUGAAUUCAAAAAACAGACAGUAGAAUGAUGGNNNNNNNNNNNNNNNNNNNNNNNNNNNNNNCAGACAGUAGAAUGAUGGUUACCAGGGGCUGAGGAGGUAGGGGGCAGGGGCGGGGGGCAUGCUAUGGGGAGAUAUUGAUCAAAUUGUAUAAAUUUCUAGUUAUAAGGUUAAUAAAUUCUGGGAAUCUAACAUACAACAUGGCUCUUAUCGCUAACUAUUCUGUGUUAUAUAGAUGACUGUUACCAAGAGAGUAAAUCUUAAAUGUUCUCAACACACAAAAACAGUAGUGAUUAUGUGGCCGGAUGGAGGUUUUAGUUAUUGCUAUGGUGGUAAUCAUUUUGCAAUAUAUAAAUGUAUCAAACAAUACAUUGUGAAACCAAGGCUAGUCAUCAGUUAGACCCAUUAAAUUAUAACUUGCUUAAUAAAUAAUAACUGUAACCCGGCUUCACUGACUAAGCUCACUUCAAUUGUUUUUACAAAAACUUGUUUGUCUUCCAAGCAUUAUGUAUUAUUGUUUGCCUAAGUUGUUUUUCAGGAACUUGGAGUUAGCUGUUGCCCAGCUCAAGCCAGUUAAGACUGGU